rnacentral:rRNA from 1 species
CACUCUAAAGGGACUGCCGGUGUUAAACCGGAGGAAGGGUGGGGAUGACGUCAAGUCCUCAUGGCCUUUAUGACCAGGGCUACACACGUACUACAAUGGCCGAUACAAAGGGCAGCGACACUGCGAGGUGAAGCCAACUACCCGUAAAAUCGGUCUCAGUCCGGAUUGGAGUCUGCAACUCGACUCCAUGAAGUUGGAAUCGCUAGUAAUCGUGGAUCAGCAUGCCACGGUGAAUACGUUCCCGGGCCUU